rnacentral:lncRNA from 1 species
AUCUAAUUAGAAAUAAAAUUGUUGAAUCCACUGUGCACUGCUAGGCGAAGAAAGAUCAAGAGGAGACCAUAUUAUAUAUAUAGUAAAAUGUUCCAGGGUAAUAAAUAACAGAGUUCAUUCACUAUAUUAAUUAUUAUAACACACAACAAGCUAUAAUUACUCGUGCAAUAAGCAUAAUAUAUGGCUCUGUUAGCUAAUAAAGAGGAUAGUGGGGUCGCAGCAACACUCGUCAAUAAGGCAGCAACAACACAAAGCUGCAAGGCUGUAACCAGAAAUUCAAGAAAUAUUUAUGUUAUGCCACUUUCAGAGACCAAGAACCAAGAGCAAGACAAGUAAAACAAGGGUUUUCUUUCUUUUCUGGGUAUUCUAAUCCAUAUAAUUCAGUCAGUAUUUUAACAAGUUCAAAAAGAAUUACCAUCCCUCGAGGAAACCAGGCUCUCUCCGAGGUGGCGGAGCAGCAUAAUACUGUGGAGGUGGCAUCACCGGAGGUCCUUGAUAAUAACCUGCCAGCACAGGGAAAAGUAAAGGAGGAAACAACCAUAAAAUGAUGAUAUCUUAAGAUCUGAUAAAACGAAAACCCAAGGAUAAAAAAAAUUAAAAAAUCCUUCAAGACAUAAGUCGAUUCUCGAGCGAUCCUAAAGAGAAUCCCCUGUACACAUAGACUGAAGAAAAAGAGGAAAACCCCAUAUCACAAUUAAGUAGAAAAACGAAGCUUGCAUCUUUGAAAGGAAUGUCAGAUGAGAAGCAGCAGCAGCAGCAGCAGCAGCAGCAGCAAGCAGAUGAGAUUAUAAAGAUGAGAAAGAUGGAUGAUUACCUUGAGCAGGGUAUGGAUAAGCAUACUUGGGAUCACUCAUCUCUACCGAGACUCUCCAGUCUCAAGAAUUUCAGAUAUGAAGAUUGAAGGAGGUGCAGUAGUGCUUUUGGUGACAGCUAGAAGCUGCAGGGGACCUGAUUUAUGGCAUGAGAAGAUGCCGGGAACAUGUCAGAAGAGUCAUGCCUUGCUUUGCUUUUGUAUCAAUCAAGGUAACUGUCACAAUAAUUG